AGGAGGCAGCAGUGAGGAAUAUUGCACAAUGGGCGAAAGCCUGAUGCAGCAACGCCGCGUGAGUGAUGAAGGCCUUCGGGUUGUAAAGCUCUGUCUUUGGGGACGAUAAUGACGGUACCCAAGGAGGAAGCCACGGCUAACUACGUGCCAGCAGCCGCGGUAAUACGUAGGUGGCGAGCGUUGUCCGGAUUUACUGGGCGUAAAGGAUGCGUAGGCGGAUAUUUAAGUGAGAUGUGAAAUACCCGGGCUUAACUUGGGUGCUGCAUUUCAAACUGGAUAUCUAGAGUGCGGGAGAGGAGAAUGGAAUUCCUAGUGUAGCGGUGAAAUGCGUAGAGAUUAGGAAGAACACCAGUGGCGAAGGCGAUUCUCUGGACCGUAACUGACGCUGAGGCAUGAAAGCGUGGGUAGCAAACAGGAUUAGAUACCCCAGUAGUCCG
rnacentral:rRNA from 1 species